rnacentral:rRNA from 1 species
GGGGGGGGGGGGGGGGGGGGGUAGGGGAGGGAGGGCGGGGGGAGGGGGGGGGCUUGGGCGUGGGGUGAGGGGGGGGCGGGUGGGUAGUGCGUAGGAAGCUGCCGGGGAGGGGGGGAGAGCGUCGGGAGGCGGGCGGGACUCCCGCAGCGGUCGGGGUGGAGAAGGGGGGGGGGAUUCGGACGUAGCGCGAUCAGAGGAGCCUAGGUCGGAUAAGCUAGUUGGUGGGGUAAAGGCCUACCAAUACGACGAUCCGUAACUGGUCUUAGAGGAUGAUCAGUCACACUGGAACGGAGACACGGUCCAGACUCCUACGGGAGGCAGCAGUGGGGAAUAUUGGACAAUGGGCGAAAGCCUGAUCCAGCCAUGCCGCGUGUGUGAAGAAGGUCUUCGGAUUGUAAGGCACGUUAAGUUGGGAGGAAGGGCAGUAAGUUAAUACCUUGCUGUUUUGACGUUACCAACAGAAUAAGCACCGGCUAACUUCGUG